rnacentral:rRNA from 1 species
CGCAUGGUCGGAUGGGCGAAGCCUGAUCCAGCAUGCCGCGUGUGUGAGAAGGCCUUCGGAUUGUAAGCACUUUUGGUCGGGAAGAAGAUGACGGUGCUUGCCCAUGAACCCCGGAUAACUUCGGGCCAAUAGCCGCGGCAUACUACGUGCCAGCAGCCGCGGUAAUAA